rnacentral:misc_RNA from 1 species
UCGUUACGGAGUUAAUGCUACAGUUUGCCGCUGGUAGACUUCCAGCGAAUAAAAGAAGAUGGAAGAAGAUGAAGUGGCAAAGAUAGCGAUUGCGUAACGUAAAACAACUGACGCGAAGUCGAUCAGUCGGCCGCCACAGCCGUACAAAACCAGAUCGUAACUCCUACUUUUGAAGCUUCACCGGUGAAACUUCGUUUCUACAGUUACCUCGUCUGCUUGGCCGUUCCUUCGAUGGUGCGAUAGGGGAUGGUCACACGUCCCCUGGCACCGCUGUAUCUCACCACUCGCAAAGCAAACUGACCAACGCUUUCCACCAGCUCGAUGUCUCUUUCGGGGAAGCCGAACACGCCGCUGUGAUCGUCGUCGAGGAUCAUCACGGUCGCCAAGCUAGGUGACACCAGCAUGGCAGGCUGCGACGCGUUGCUCAACCUGUAACAUCAUCGUCAUCGCUGUUAGCGUCUUA